rnacentral:rRNA from 1 species
CGGACGGGUGAGUAAUGCUUGGGAAUCUGGCUUAUGGAGGGGGAUAACUACGGGAAACUGUAGCUAAUACCGCGUAAUAUCUUCGGAUUAAAGGGUGGGACUUUCGGGCCACCUGCCAUAAGAUGAGCCCAAGUGGGAUUAGGUAGUUGGUGGGGUAAAGGCCUACCAAGCCGACGAUCUCUAGCUGGUCUGAGAGGAUGACCAGCCACACUGGAACUGAGACACGGUCCAGACUCCUACGGGAGGCAGCAGUGGGGAAUAUUGCACAAUGGGGGGAACCCUGAUGCAGCCAUGCCGCGUGAAUGAAGAAGGCCUUCGGGUUGUAAAGUUCUUUCGGUGAUGAGGAAGGUGUUUGUUUUAAUAGAACAAGCAAUUGACGUUAGUCACAGAAGAAGCACCGGCUAACUCCGUGCCAGCAGCCGCGGUAAUACGGAGGGUGCGAGCGUUAAUCGGAAUGACUGGGCGUAAAGGGCACGCAGGCGGUGACUUAAGUGAGAUGUGAAAGCCCCGGGCUUAACCUGGGAAUUGCAUUUCAUACUGGGUCGCUAGAGUAUUUUAGGGAGGGGUAGAAUUCCACGUGUAGCGGUGAAAUGCGUAGAGAUGUGGAGGAAUACCGAAGGCGAAGGCAGCCUCUUGGGGAUAUACUGACGCUCAUGUGCGAAAGCGUGGGGAGCA